rnacentral:rRNA from 1 species
AUAGGUUUGGUCCCAGCCUUCCUGUUAACUUUCAAUAGACUUAUACAUGCAAGCAUCCACGCCCCGGUGAGUAACGCCCUUCGAAUCACAUAGGACUAAAAGGAGCAGGUAUCAAGCACACACUCUUGUAGCUCACAACGCCUUGCUUAACCACACCCCCACGGGAGACAGCAGUAACAAAAAUUAAGCCAUAAAGAAAGUUUGACUAAGCCAUAUUGACCAGGGUUGGUAAAUCUCGUGCCAGCCACCGCGGUCAUACGAUUGACCCAAGCUAACAGGAGUACGGCGUAAAGCGUGUUAAAGCAUCAUACUAAAUAGAGUUAAAUUUUAAUUAAACUGUAAAAAGCCAUAAUUAUAACAAAAAUAAAUGACGAAAGUAACCCUACAAUAGCUGAUACACCAUAGCUAAGACCCAAACUGGGAUUAGAUACCCCACUAUGCU